GAGAAGGAUAUACCUGUUCCCAUGUCGAACACAGAAGUCAAGCUUCUUAACGCCGAGAGUAGUUGGGGGAUCGCCCCCUGCGAGGGUAGGACGUUGCCAUGC
rnacentral:rRNA from 1 species